CCUACGGGAGGCAGCAGUGAGGAAUAUUGGUCAAUGGCCGGGAGGCUGAACCAGCCAAGUCGCGUGAGGGAUGACGGCCCUACGGGUUGUAAACCUCUUUUGUCAGGGAGUAAGGUGCAGCUCGUGACCCUCUGUGAGUGUACCUGAUGAAUAAGCAUCGGCUAACUCCGUGCCAGCAGCCGCGGUAAUACGGAGGAUGCGAGCGUUAUCCGGAUUUAUUGGGUUUAAAGGGUGCGCAGGCGGAGGCACAAGUCAGUGGUAAAAUCGCGGGGCUCAACCCCGCUCCGCCGUUGAAACUGUGUGCCUUGAGUGCGCGAAGGGUAGGCGGAAUGCGUGGUGUAGCGGUGAAAUGCAUAGAUAUCACGCAGAACUCCGAUCGCGAAGGCAGCCUACCGGAGCGCAACUGACGCUCAUGCACGAAAGCGUGGGUAUCGAACAGGAUUAGAUACCCCAGUAGUC
rnacentral:rRNA from 1 species